CCUACGGGAGGCAGCAGUUGGGGAUUUUGCACAAUGGACGCAAGUCUGAUGCAGCGACACUGCGUGAGGGGAUGAAGGUUUUCGGAUCGUAAACUUCUUUAGCGGGGAGUAAUCUGAAAGU
rnacentral:rRNA from 1 species